UAGUAACGGCGAGUGAAGCGGCAACAGCUCAAAUUUGAAAUCUGGCUCUUUUAGAGUCCGAGUUGUAAUUUGCAGAGGGCGCUUUGGCUUUGGCAGCGGUCCAAGUUCCUUGGAACAGGACGUCACAGAGGGUGAGAAUCCCGUACGUGGUCGCUGGCUAUUGCCGUGUAAAGCCCCUUCGACGAGUCGAGUUGUUUGGGAAUGCAGCUCUAAAUGGGAGGUACAUUUCUUCUAAAGCUAAAUAUUGGCCAGAGACCGAUAGCGCACAAGUAGAGUGAUCGAAAGAUGAAAAGCACUUUGGAAAGAGAGUCAAACAGCACGUGAAAUUGUUGAAAGGGAAGCGCUUGCAGCCAGACUUGCUUACAGUUGCUCAUCCGGGUUUCUACCCGGUGCACUCUUCUGUAGGCAGGCCAGCAUCAGUUUGGGCGGUAGGAUAAAGGUCUCUGUCACGUACCUCCUUUCGGGGAGGCCUUAUAGGGGAGACGACAUACUACCAGCCUGGACUGAGGUCCGCGCAUCUGCUAGGAUGCUGGCGUAAUGGCUGUAAGCGGCCCGUCUUGAAACACGGACCAAGGAGUCUAACAUCUAUGCGAGUGUUUGGGUGUCAAGCCCGAGCGCGUAAUGAAAGUGAACGGAGGUGGGAACCCGCAAGGGUGCACCAUCGACCGAUCCUGAUGUCUUCGGAAGGAUUUGAGUAAGAGCAUGGCUGUUGGGACCCGAAAGAUGGUGAACUAUGCUUGAAUAGGGUGAAGCCAGAGGAAACUCUGGUGGAGGCUCGCAGCGGUUCUGACGUGCAAAUCGAUCGUCAAAUUUGGGCAUAGGGGCGAAAGACUAAUCGAACUAUCUAGU
rnacentral:rRNA from 1 species